rnacentral:rRNA from 1 species
GACGAACGCUGGCGGCGUGCCUAAUACAUGCAAGUAGCAACGCUGAAGGAGGAGCUUGCUUCUCUGGAUGAGUUGCGAACGGGUGAGUAACGCGUAGGUAACCUGCCUGGUAGCGGGGGAUAACUAUUGGAAACGAUAGCUAAUACCGCAUAAUAGCAGUUAUUGCAUGAUAACUGUUUGAAAGGUGCAAUUGCACCACUACCAGAUGGACCUGCGUUGUAUUAGCUAGUUGGUGGGGUAACGGCUCACCAAGGCGACGAUACAUAGCCGACCUGAGAGGGUGAUCGGCCACACUGGGACUGAGACGCGGCCCAGACUCCUACGGGGGCAGCAGUAGGGAAUCUUCGGCAAUGGACGGAAGUCUGACCGAGCAACGCCGCGUGAGUGAAGAAGGUUUUCGGAUCGUAAAGCUCUGUUGUAAGAGAAGAACGAGUGUGAGAGUGGAAAGUUCACACUGUGACGGUAUCUUACCAGAAAGGGCGGC